AAGAUUCUUUUCGGAUCCCACUUCCUCAUACUUGGCAACCACCUCCCCACACACAGGCUACAUCACAGCCAUCAGGCUUCUGGUAGAUGAGUGAUAAGGAUUUUCUUUGGAGCCAAGCAAGGCAACUGCUGAAGCUGACCACCAUUAGAAACUCCCUUCCUGGAGCCGACUGUACGGCCCACACAGCACCCCCUCGACCUUGGCUGUCCUGAGUACAAUUAGACUGGGAGUUAAAGAAGAGAGCCACAUCUGGGUUACAGUGUGAUGUGUGCCCCGAGUCAGAAGGUGAACUGAAAUGGCUUUGCCUUAGCCUAAUUUCACCAGAACAAACUGCAAAAUAAUCACCCAGUUUUGAAGAGUCUGUUCCUCCCUCACUGUGCGUAGGCCACUAUCAUCACUGUCAGCAGGAGUUUGGGAAAUGGCAUAGUAAGUAUUUAGUGAGCAGAUAGAGCCCCUAACAGGAUCAGAAACACUGAAAAGCCUUGGAGACAUUCUGUUACCAAGCAUCUUGUAAAACACCCUUGGUAUGCACAUCAAAAAGGCACCAGCAGCUCAGAAUUGCAUUCCGAUCCAGUCUUCAUCAUGUCAUGUUAACCAGAGGAGAAGCUCCAUAACCACAAACUCCCUCAGGGUAGCUUUUUAUGUGCUAAUCCUGCUGCCUGUUUCUUUAGAAGUUUCCAUUACUAGCACAAGUUAAUAUAUAUAUGCGUAAUGUUUAGUUUUAUACAGAUAUCCCAUAGAAAUAAUUCUCUUUCAAUGGACACUGACACCUACUGUUUUUCAACCACCAGAAAAUGAUGGAAAUAAAUCUAUAGUCCAUAGA